rnacentral:rRNA from 1 species
UGCGUAGGUGGUGGGGUAAGUCGGAUGUGAAAGCUCGGAGCUCAACUCCGAAAUGGCAUUGGAAACUACCCUGCUAGAGGAUUGGGAGGGGGGGACUGGAAUACUUGGUGUAGCAGUGAAAUGCGUAGAUAUCAAGUGGAACACCAGUGGCGAAGGCGAGUCCCUGGACAAUACCUGACACUGAGGCACGAAAGCUGGGAGGCAAACA